rnacentral:rRNA from 1 species
CGGACGACGAUCCGUAGCGGGUCUGAGAGGAUGAUCCGCCACACUGGGACUGAGACACGGCCCAGACUCCUACGGGAGGCAGCAGUGGGAAUUUUGGACAAUGGGCGAAAGCCUGAUCCAGCCAUGCCGCGUGAGUGAAGAAGGCCUUCGGGUUGUAAAGCUCUUUCAGGUGGAAAGAAAACGCAUAGGUUAAUACCUUGUGCGGAUGACGGUACCAUCAGAAGAAGCACCGGCUAACUACGUGCCAGCAGCCGCGGUAAUACGUAGGGUGCGAGCGUUAAUCGGAAUUACUGGGCGUAAAGCGUGCGCAGGCGGUUAUGUAAGACAGAUGUGAAAUCCCCGGGCUCAACCUGGGAACUGCGUUUGUGACUGCAUAACUAGAGUACGGCAGAGGGAGGUGGAAUUCCGCGUGUAGCAGUGAAAUGCGUAGAUAUGCGGAGGAACACCGAUGGCGAAGGCAGCCUCCUGGGCCAGUACUGACGCUCAUGCACGAAAGCGUGGGGAGCG